rnacentral:rRNA from 1 species
CCUACGGGCUGCACCAGUGGGGAAUGUUGCACAAUGGGCGCAAGCCUGAUGCAGCCAUGCCGCGUGUAUGAAGAAGGCCUUAGGGUUGUAAAGUACUUUCAGUUGGGAGGAAGGCGUUGAUGCUAAUAUCAUCAACGAUUGACGUUACCAACAGAAGAAGCACCGGCUAACUCCGUGCCAGCAGCCGCGGUAAUACGGAGGGUGCAAGCGUUAAUCGGAAUUACUGGGCGUAAAGCGCGCGCAGGCGGUUGAUUAAGUUAGAUGUGAAAUCCCCGGGCUCAACCUGGGAACUGCAUUCGAAACUGGCAGGCUAGAGUCUUGUAGAGGGGGGUAGAAUUCCAGGUGUAGCGGUGAAAUGCGUAGAGAUCUGGAGGAAUACCGGUGGCGAAGGCGGCCCCCUGGACGAAGACUGACGCUCAGGUGCGAAAGCGUGGGGAGCAAACAGGAUUAGAUACCCCAGUAGUC